AUUGAACGCUAGCGGGAUGCCUUACACAUGCAAGUCGAACGGCGUGGCGAACGGGUGAGUAAUGUAUCGGAACGUGCCCAGUAGCGGGGGAUAAAUCCGCGAAAGCGUAGCUAAUACCGCAUACUAUUGGAGCGGCCGAUAUUGGAUUAGCUAGUUGGUGGGGUAACGGCUCACCAAGGCGACGAUCCGUAGCUGGAUUGAGAGGACGACCCGCCACACUGGGACUGAGACACGGCCCAGACUCCUACGGGAGGCAGCAGGAGGGAAUUUUGGGCAAUGGGGGAAACCCUGAUCCAGCCAUCCCGCGUGUGCGAUGAAGGCCUUCGGGUUGUAAAGCACUUUUGUCAGGAAAGCGGUACCUGCAGAAUAAGCACCGGCUAACUACGUGCCAGCAGCCGCGGUAAUUC
rnacentral:rRNA from 1 species